rnacentral:rRNA from 1 species
GGUCUGAGAGGACGAUCAGCCACAUUGGGACUGAGACACGGCCCAGACAUCUACGGAUGGCAGCAGUUAAGAAUAUUGGACAAUGGGGGCAACCCUGAUCCAGGUAUACCGCGUGUGUGAAGAAGGCCCUAGGGUUGUAAAGCACUUUAAUCAGAGAAGAAGCAUUUUAAGUUAAUACCUUAAUAUGUUGACGUUACCUGAAGAAUAAGGACCGGCUAACUCCGUGCCAGCAGCCGCGGUAAUACGGAGGGUCCAAGCGUUAAUCGGAAUUACUGGGCGUAAAGCGCGCGUAGGCGGUUUAGCAAGUUGUAUGUGAAAGCCCUGGGCUCAACCUAGGAACUGCAUCCAAAACUACUAAGCUAGAGUACGAGAGAGGAGAGUAGAAUUUCUGGUGUAGCGGUGAAAUGCGUAGAUAUCAGAAGGAAUACCAAUGGCGAAGGCAGCUCUCUGGCUCGUCACUGACGCUGAGGUGCGAAAGCGUGGGUAGCAAACAGGAUUAGAUACCCUGGUAGUCCACGCCGUAAACGAUGAGAACUAGCCGUUGGGCAGAUUUAACUGUUCAGUGGCACAGCUAACGCAUUAAGUUCUCCGCCUGGGGAGUACGGCCGCAAGGCUAAAACUCAAAUGAAUUGACGGGGGCCCGCACAAGUGGUGGAGCAUGUGGUUUAAUUCGAUGCAACGCGAAGAACCUUACCAACCCUUGAAAUCUAGCGAAGUUCACAGAGAUGAGAAUGUGCCUUCGGGAACGCUAUGACAGGUGUUGCAUGGCUGUCGUCAGCUCGUGUCGUGAGAUGUAUGGUUAAGUCCAGUAACGAGCGCAACCCCUAUCCUUAUUUGCCAGCGCGUUAAGGCGGGAACUAUAGGGAGACUGCCGGGUGAAACCCGGAGGAAGGCGGGGACGAGGUCAAGUCAUCAUGGCCCUUAUGGGUUGGGCUACACACGUGC